AAUGUAUGGGGCGGAUAGGGGUGCAGCAUGGUUGUGGUGCGUCCUUUUUAGAAGGAAUAUGGAAGCGGGUUAUGAAUAGAGACAGCAAUGGGAGAGAGGUGGGCCUAAAGGAUCAAAGAUUUUUACCAGUACUGCACCCCUAAGAAAUUUGAGCAUCAUAAAGAAAGUGGCUAGGAGAGACAAGAAAAAGGUAGCAUACAAACGAAACCCUACUUUAUUUAACAUUAUGAGGAAUGAUAAGGACCAGCUUGAUGAGAAGGAGAAGAAAGGGGUAUAUAGGAUACCAAUGACAGACAUGAACACAAAUCAAGGAAACAGCAUAUAUAGGGAUGACAUCAAAGUCAUUAGGAAUGCGGAUGGACGAACAUAAAAAUGAUAUCUUAAAGGUUAGAAUGGGCACGGCCCUAGCAAGUGAAGCCUGUAGUAACAAUGUCCGUAUAAAAUGGGACAAAGCUAGAUGUAUAAAGCUCCUAAAGAAGCAUGCAAGGUCUACAGUGAUGGACUCCCUGGAAAUAUUAAAAAGUUGGGACAUGAGAAACUAAUCAAUGACAAACUUGCAUGGGAGUCUUCCAAAGGUUGGAGAUAUGCUCUGGAUAGGAGGAGGAUUUGAGCAAUUAAAAGUAUAGAUUCUUAGCAAGAAAAUUAUAUUGAUAAGAAGUAAUAAAUGAAACAGCAGACAUGUUUACCAAAGGUUUACACAGAGAAC
rnacentral:lncRNA from 1 species